rnacentral:rRNA from 1 species
AGAUUAAGUUAUUAAGGGCGCACGGUGGAUGCCUUGGCACUAGAAGCCGAUGAAGGACGUUACUAACGACGAUAUGCUUUGGGGAGCUGUAAGUAAGCUUUGAUCCAGAGAUUUCCGAAUGGGGAAACCCAGCAUGAGUUAUGUCAUGUUAUCGAUAUGUGAAUACAUAGCAUAUCAGAAGGCACACCCGGAGAACUGAAACAUCUUAGUACCCGGAGGAAGAGAAAGAAAAUUCGAUUCCCUUAGUAGCGGCGAGCGAAACGGGAAGAGCCCAAACCAACAAGCUUGCUUGUUGGGGUUGUAGGACACUCUAUACGGAGUUACAAAGGACGACAUUAGACGAAUCAUCUGGAAAGAUGAAUCAAAGAAGGUAAUAAUCCUGUAGUCGAAAAUGUUGUCUCUCUUGAGUGGAUCCUGAGUACGACGGAGCACGUGAAAUUCCGUCGGAAUCUGGGAGGACCAUCUCCUAAGGCUAAAUACUCUCUAGUGACCGAUAGUGAACCAGUACCGUGAGGGAAAGGUGAAAAGCACCCCGGAAGGGGAGUGAAAUAGAACCUGAAACCGUGUGCUUACAAGUAGUCAGAGCCCGUUAAUGGGUGAUGGCGUGCCUUUUGUAGAAUGAACCGGCGAGUUACGAUUUGAUGCAAGGUUAAGCAGUAAAUGUGGAGCCGUAGCGAAAGCGAGUCUGAAUAGGGCGUUUAGUAUUUGGUCGUAGACCCGAAACCAGGUGAUCUACCCUUGGUCAGGUUGAAGUUCAGGUAACACUGAAUGGAGGACCGAACCGACUUACGUUGAAAAGUGAGCGGAUGAACUGAGGGUAGCGGAGAAAUUCCAAUCGAACCUGGAGAUAGCUGGUUCUCUCCGAAAUAGCUUUAGGGCUAGCCUCAAGUGAUGAUUAUUGGAGGUAGAGCACUGUUUGGACGAGGGGCCCCUCUCGGGUUACCGAAUUCAGACAAACUCCGAAUGCCAAUUAAUUUAACUUGGGAGUCAGAACAUGGGUGAUAAGGUCCGUGUUCGAAAGGGAAACAGCCCAGACCACCAGCUAAGGUCCCAAAAUAUAUGUUAAGUGGAAAAGGAUGUGGCGUUGCCCAGACAACUAGGAUGUUGGCUUAGAAGCAGCCAUCAUUUAAAGAGUGCGUAAUAGCUCACUAGUCGAGUGACACUGCGCCGAAAAUGUACCGGGGCUAAACAUAUUACCGAAGCUGUGGAUUGUCCUUUGGACAAUGGUAGGAGAGCGUUCUAAGGGCGUUGAAGCAUGAUCGUAAGGACAUGUGGAGCGCUUAGAAGUGAGAAUGCCGGUGUGAGUAGCGAAAGACGGGUGAGAAUCCCGUCCACCGAUUGACUAAGGUUUCCAGAGGAAGGCUCGUCCGCUCUGGGUUAGUCGGGUCCUAAGCUGAGGCCGACAGGCGUAGGCGAUGGAUAACAGGUUGAUAUUCCUGUACCACCUAUAAUCGUUUUAAUCGAUGGGGGGACGCAGUAGGAUAGGCGAAGCGUGCGAUUGGAUUGCACGUCUAAGCAGUAAGGCUGAGUAUUAGGCAAAUCCGGUACUCGUUAAGGCUGAGCUGUGAUGGGGAGAAGACAUUGUGUCUUCGAGUCGUUGAUUUCACACUGCCGAGAAAAGCCUCUAGAUAGAAAAUAGGUGCCCGUACCGCAAACCGACACAGGUAGUCAAGAUGAGAAUUCUAAGGUGAGCGAGCGAACUCUCGUUAAGGAACUCGGCAAAAUGACCCCGUAACUUCGGGAGAAGGGGUGCUCUUUAGGGUUAACGCCCAGAAGAGCCGCAGUGAAUAGGCCCAAGCGACUGUUUAUCAAAAACACAGGUCUCUGCUAAACCGUAAGGUGAUGUAUAGGGGCUGACGCCUGCCCGGUGCUGGAAGGUUAAGAGGAGUGGUUAGCUUCUGCGAAGCUACGAAUCGAAGCCCCAGUAAACGGCGGCCGUAACUAUAACGGUCCUAAGGUAGCGAAAUUCCUUGUCGGGUAAGUUCCGACCCGCACGAAAGGCGUAACGAUUUGGGCACUGUCUCAACGAGAGACUCGGUGAAAUCAUAGUACCUGUGAAGAUGCAGGUUACCCGCGACAGGACGGAAAGACCCCGUGGAGCUUUACUGUAGCCUGAUAUUGAAAUUCGGCACAGCUUGUACAGGAUAGGUAGGAGCCUUUGAAACGUGAGCGCUAGCUUACGUGGAGGCGCUGGUGGGAUACUACCCUAGCUGUGUUGGCUUUCUAACCCGCACCACUUAUCGUGGUGGGAGACAGUGUCAGGCGGGCAGUUUGACUGGGGCGGUCGCCUCCUAAAAGGUAACGGAGGCGCUCAAAGGUUCCCUCAGAA